AAUUGAAUCAUGGGGGUGGGUCUUUCCUGUGCUAUUCUCAUGCUAGUGAAUAAGUCUCAUAAGAUCUGAUGGGCUUGUCAGGGUUUUCAGCUUUUGAGUCUUCCUCAUUUUCUCUUGCCACCGCCACGUAAGAAGUGCCUUUCACCUUUGGCCAUGAUUCUGAUGCCUCCUCUGCCAUGUGGAACUCUUAAGUCCAGUGAAACCUGUUUUUCCCCAGUCUCAGGUAUUUCUUUAUCAGCAGCAUGAAAAUGGACUAAUACAGCAACCAGUGUGGGCUGAGGUCAUAACAUUGAGUAAAAGACUCAGUACUUUUUGUCUAUUGGGGAGAGACAGACACACCAAGUAAAAUAUAUAGUGUGUCAGAUGGUGCUCAGUGCAGAAGGCAGAGCUGGGUCUGCGGCCAGGGCUGCAGUUUUACAUAGAUAGAUAGAGAAUGCCUUACUGAGGAGGUGCUGUUUGAAGAUGGUGCAGGAAUGCGCUAUACUGAGUCUGGGAAGAGCAUCCAGGCAGCAGAGGGAAGCAGAUGCAGUGGCCACAGGACGGGGGAAACCUGAAGAAGGCCCAUGUGGCUACAGGGGAGGAAGCCAAGGGAGACAGCAAUCCAGGAAGCAGAGGGGACCCUGAGGGAGCCACAUCAUCAGACGUUUCUCCAUUUCUUGCUUUCUAGUGCUGCAAGAGCAGCAGUUUCUUGAGGGUGUUCCCUAAGUAAGAUUCAAAUGUCUCUCCUCGGGGGAUGGUAGUGUCAUUGGAAAUGAUGGAAAAUGCCCCAGUUUCUGGGAACUGCCAUGUCCAUCACAGGUGGAAUAGUUUUCCCUACUGCUAUCUGCACACAAGGGCCCAUUCCCCAGGUAGCAUGUCUAUUGGCUUCUCUCUGCCUCUACUUCUCCAGGGAGAAUUGUAAUUUUUUAAAAGAGAAUUAACUUAGAAACCUUAAAAUCUUUCUAGGUAUUUUCCAAGAAUUCCAGAAGAUGUUAAUCUAGCAAACUAACAAGGCUACAAGUCAUUUCCUUCUCUGAUUAUCUUGUAUCUGUGUAGGGUUUGUUUGUUUCUUUGUUUUUAAUUUACACAAGUUUUACAAUGUUGGGAACAAUCCUUUUAUUUGAUUUUUUGUUUUGUGUUCAUUGAUACUGUCCUGUUUUAAAUUCAUUUCCACAAAGUCAAGAUAACCCUAACAAACAAGUGAUUUGUAUUUUGUUACUCCAGAAAGAGAGGCUGGUUUGUCCAGGUCUUUAAAAUCUUUCUAAAGUACCCUUCAAACCUAAGGUUAUCACAGACUCCUGGUUUUCCCCAGUCAGUAUGAGUUUACACUCAUCUCAUUACACUGGUUCUACCACCAGUCUCAGCCAUGGGCUCUGGAUAAAGUGGCCUGAAUCAUAGCACUUGUAAUCAGUGCCUUCUGUAGCUGUGCAUUUUACUGAGA